rnacentral:rRNA from 1 species
UACAGCGGUCUCAAGCGUUGUUCGGAUUCAUUGGGCGUAAAGGGUGCGUAGGCGGCGCGGUAAGUCGGGUGUGAAAUCUCGGAGCUUAACUCCGAAACUGCAUUCGAUACUGCCGUGCUUGAGGACUGGAGAGGAGACUGGAAUUUACGGUGUAGCGGUGAAAUGCGUAGAUAUCGUAAGGAGGACCAGUGGCGAAGGCGGGUCUCUGGACAGUUCCUGACGCUGAGGCACGAAGGUCAGGGGAGCAAACGGG